rnacentral:rRNA from 1 species
GAUGAACGCUGGGCGUGCCUAAUACAUGCAAGUCGAGCGAACGGACGAGAAGCUUGCUUCUCUGAUGUUAGCGGCGGACGGGUGAGUAACACGUGGAUAACCUACCUAUAAGACUGGGAUAACUUCGGGAAACCGGAGCUAAUACCGGAUAAUAUUUUGAACCGCAUGGUUCAAAAGUGAAAGACGGUCUUGCUGUCACUUAUAGAUGGAUCCGCGCUGCAUUAGCUAGUUGGUAAGGUAACGGCUUACCAAGGCAACGAUGCAUAGCCGACCUGAGAGGGUGAUCGGCCACACUGGAACUGAGACACGGUCCAGACUCCUACGGGAGGCAGCAGUAGGGAAUCUUCCGCAAUGGGCGAAAGCCUGACGGAGCAACGCCGCGUGAGUGAUGAAGGUCUUCGGAUCGUAAAACUCUGUUAUUAGGGAAGAACAUAUGUGUAAGUAACUGUGCACAUCUUGACGGUACCUAAUCAGAAAGCCACGGCUAACUACGUG